UACAGAGGGGCAAGCGUUAUUCGGAAUUACUGGGCGUAAAGCGCGCGUAGGCGGACCUGCAAGUCGGGGUGAAAGCCCGAGGCUCAACCUCGGAACUGCCUUCGGUACUGCGGGUCUCGAGUCCGGGAGAGGUGAGUGGGAAUUCCUAGUGUAGAGGUGAAAUCGUAGAUAUUAGGAAGAACACCCGUGGCGAAGGCGGCUCUCUGGGACGGUACUGACGCUGAGACGGCGAAAGCGUGGGGAGCGAACAGG
rnacentral:rRNA from 1 species